ACCAUUGGCGGCGUGCUAAUACAUGCAAGUCGAGCGGACAGAAGGGAGCUUGCUCCCGGAUGUUAGCGGCGGACGGGUGAGUAACACGUGGGUAACCUGCCUGUAAGACUGGGAUAACUCCGGGAAACCGGAGCUAAUACCGGAUAGUUCCUUGAACCGCAUGGUUCAAGGAUGAAAGACGGUUUCGGCUGUCACUUACAGAUGGACCCGCGGCGCAUUAGCUAGUUGGUGAGGUAACGGCUCACCAAGGCGACGAUGCGUAGCCGACCUGAGAGGGUGAUCGGCCACACUGGGACUGAGACACGGCCCAGACUCCUACGGGAGGCAGCAGUAGGGAAUCUUCCGCAAUGGACGAAAGUCUGACGGAGCAACGCCGCGUGAGUGAUGAAGGUUUUCGGAUCGUAAAGCUCUGUUGUUAGGGAAGAACAAGUGCAAGAGUAACUGCUUGCACCAUGACGGUACCUAACCAGAAAGCCACGGCUAACUACGUGCCAGCAGCCGCGGUAAUACGUAGGUGGCAAGCGUUGUCCGGAAUUAUUGGGCGUAAAGGGCUCGCAGGCGGUUUCUUAAGUCUGAUGUGAAAGCCCCCGGCUCAACCGGGGAGGGUCAUUGGAAACUGGGAAACUUGAGUGCAGAAGAGGAGAGUGGAAUUCCACGUGUAGCGGUGAAAUGCGUAGAGAUGUGGAGGAACACCAGUGGCGAAAGCGACUCUCUGGUCUGUAACUGACGCUGAGGAGCGAAAGCGUGGGGAGCGAACAGGAUUAGAUACCCUGGUAGUCCACGCCGUAAACGAUGAGUGCUAAGUGUUAGGGGUUUCCGCCCCUUAGUGCUGCAGCUAACGCAUAAGCACUCCGCCUGGGGGAGUACGGUCGCAGACUGAAACUCAAAGGAAUGACGGGGGCCGCACAGCGGUGGAGCAUGUGGUUUAAUUCGAAGCACGCGAGAACUUACAGUCUUGACAUUCUUCUGACACCCUAAAGAUAGGGCCUUGCUCGGACAGAUUGACAGGUGGUGCAUGAUUGUCCUCAGUCUGUCUGAAUGUGGUAGUUCGACGAGGCACUGACUUAGUGCAG
rnacentral:rRNA from 1 species